UACGUAGGGGGCAAGCGUUGUCCGGAAUCAUUGGGCGUAAAGCGCGUGUAGGCGGCCCGGUAAGUCCGCUGUGAAAGUCGGGGGCUCAACCCUCGAAUGCCGGUGGAUACUGUCGGGCUAGAGUGCGGAAGAGGCGAGUGGAAUUCCUGGUGUAGCGGUGAAAUGCGCAGAUAUCAGGAGGAACACCAAUUGCGAAGGCAGCUCGCUGGGACGGUACUGACGCUAAGGCGCGAAAGCGUGGGGAGCGAACAGG
rnacentral:rRNA from 1 species